CCUCUUCGCACUGACCCGGAUCUAUGAAAUGGACGUGGCAGUCAACGCCGCCGGCCGUGACUAUCAGCCCCUCCGCCGCGCGAACGUCCGUGUUGGUACCGACGAUCAGUUUCGGGUCCACCCCGUCCAUUAUCCGGGGGUCACCCGCCUUGCCGAUGCCGGCGAUCAGGCCGUCUUUGAUCCCUAUAUCGGCCUUGAUGAUGCCGAGGACCGGAUCGAUGAUCGUGGCAUUCGUUAUCACCAGAUCGAGUGCACCGUCUGCCGCAGUGAUGUGGCCAUGACAGCCGG
rfam:Mesorhizobium australicum strain B5P genome assembly, contig: Ga0048943_13